GAGUUGUGAGCACAGCAGCUCCGUCACCGAGGGGUGAUCACCUGGCCCUGCUUACUCAUGUGGAAAAAAACCAGGAAGGAAGGAAAAAAAAAGAAAAGGGGAAAAAAAAAAGCCACAUGCAAACAACCAAAAAAGUCCCAGAUACGCUUCGCACCCUUGCCAUGAGCACAACACCCUGCAGAACAGAGCUGGACCCUCUUUAGCACCACUCUCCUGCACACCCUUCCUCCUUCCCACAGCCCUAACACCAAUGGGAACAAAUCCCCACAGCCCCAAAACAUCCCACAGCUCCCUGCCCUGCUUGGGCACAUCUGGAACCCCCCAGGGAAGGGACCCCCGAAGGAAGGGACCCCCCCAGGGGCUGGGGCAGCCCCCUCCGGCUCCUUACCGAGCUCAGGGCCACUGGGGACCGGCUGCGGGCUCCGGGAGCGCCCGGGGAGGCGGCGCUGGUGCUCCCCGAGAGGUUUUUAUCCUCCCCCCGUCCCUCCCUGCUCCCCGCCCCCGGCCGGCACCUCCUGCCCCUCCGUUGCCCUGCCCCGGGGGGGAAAAAGGGUCGCGGGAGUAAAUCGGGAGAGGUUUUUGGGGAGCCUCCUCACCGCAAGAGUCCCGACCUCCGGGCUGGCAGCUUUGCGUCCUAGUGGAGGGGAAGAAAGCACGGAACAAAGGUGGAAAGCAGAGGAGGAAAAGCAGAGGAUGAGUAGAAAUACCAACAGCAAAUUAUUGCAUUUCCAACCCUUCCCAAUCUUGCUUGAACUCAGGCACAGCCAAACAGCGUGGGUGUACCAGGAAGGACACAACCUCUGGAUCCUGAUAUCCCACCCCCUGCCCCUUGCACACUCGCUCAGUGCUUUGGGGUCGCUGCAGCAGUCGCAUGGAGGGGUCGCCCUCGAUGUCAGCCACGAGUAUUGGCUUUAGCAUCUCCUACGUGCACCCUGACAUCUGGCAGCAGAGAGGAAAAUCAGGAGAACUUGUUCAUGUAUUCUGAGGAUUCUGAUUUAGCUGCCUAUGGCUGAGAAGAGCAGGAGCCCAACCUUCCAAGAGCAUGCCAUGUCCUUCCCCUGGUUUUUGUGUGAAGGGGGAUCUGGCUCAUUUCUCCAGCAAGCUUACGAGUGACCAGACAACAGAUAAAACAUGAAGGGGGUUGCACCCCUCAUUCUCAGAAGGAAUAGAGAUGGGGGACAGCUGACAACCGACUCUUCAUUUACUCCAGGGGUCCCAUCACUGAUGCUUGAGUCCUAACGUGGAGGAGCUCUCCUCAAAGAGGCAGGCAGGGACGGGGUGCAGAGACUGCUGUCAGGCACCAGGGCUGCUUUGGCAGCAGGUCAGGCCCAGGAGAUGGUGUCAGUUCUUGAAGCCACCGUCAGGCACCUCUGCUUGUGAGCAAUUGUUCCCUGCGUUGUUUAUUUAUGGCUGUGGGAGGUGACUCUUGGUCUUGGAAAGCUGGAAUUUCCUGCCCUGUGUAUUUUUUAAUCCCUUAGCUGCUCCUGAGAGAUUGGAGCUAUUCCUAGAAGACAGGGGAAUGAAAACCUUUCCCUUCCAACCGUAGCUUUUUCUGAAAGAGAUAAGCUGCUAGGUUUGUUUUCCCAUUCAGGACUGGUUUAUCAAUAAACCUGAGAGCCACUUUAUUGUGUCGGCA
rnacentral:lncRNA from 1 species